CGGUAUUUUCCCACGGUGGCUGGGCUUCAACUCCUCACAAAGAGCCGCCAGAAGCUGCUAGGCUUAGUUGUGCCUGGCUUGUGUGGAAGCAACGCAGGAGCGGCGUGAGUUUUGUCUUCUCUGAACUCAGCCUGUCUCCAAGGGAAGGGAGACUACAGCUGAAGAGAGAAGAAAGAAAAGAGCAGAACCAAAUAGUGCUUGUAAUUCUAAGUCAUGACUGAGCAGGUAGUGAUGUUCAGUGAUGUGGCUGAACCUUCUCUCAGGCGGAGUGGGAAUUUCUGGACUGGAAACAGAGGGACUUGUACAGAGAUAUGAUGUUGAAGAACUAUAACAAAUUGGUCUCAUUGGGACUCACUUCCUAAACCAACUUUGAUCUCCUUUUUGGAACAAGAUGAUGAGCCCCAGAUGGUUGAGAGAGAAACAAGGAAAGGCAUAUGCCCAGUUGUGAAGUCCCAGUGUGAGACAAAGGAGUUAUCACCAAAGGAUGACAAUUACAAAAUAAAGUCACGUCAGUGCAAGAUAAUGAAAGACUUAAAAGCCAUGGCUUUGAGUGUUCCAUUAUUCAAGAUGACUGGAAAUAUAAUCACCAUUUUCAGAUGGAACAGGGAAAUCAAGAAGAAUGUCUUAAACCUGUGACAGUCACCCAUGAAAAUAAGCACCCAUCCCAUAGUCUACGUGAGAAAAAUCAUACUGAGAAAAAGCCUUGUGAAUGUGGGAAAGUCUACAAUUACCACUCAUCACUUACUCACAAUGGGAGAAGUUACACUAAAUUAAAACAUAAGGAUUGUGGAAAGGCUUUUAGCAGUUGCUCAAAACUUACUGAACAUCAGAGAAUUCAUAAUGGGGAAAGACUGUAUGAAUGUAAUGAGUGUAGGAAAGCUUUCCACCAGCCUUCAAACCUUAUUCAACAUCAGAGAAUUCAUACUGGAGAGAAACCCUAUGAAUGCAAAGAAUGUAGGAAAACUUUUAGUUACCACUCAUCACUCACUAGACAUGAGAAAACACAUACUAAAGAAAAACACUAUGUAUGUAGGAAAUGUGGGAAGGCUUUUAGCAACAGUUCAAUUAUUAAGGGACAUCAGAGUGUUCAUUGUGGGGACAGGCCCUAUAAUAUAAUAAAUAGGGAAAGCCUCCCAUCACCACUCAAUCCUUAUUCAACAUCAGAGAAUUCACCCUGGAGAAAGACCCUAUCAAUGUUACAAUUGUAAUAAAGCCUUCCGUUAUCACUCACAUCUUAUUGGACAUCAUAAAAUUCAUUCCAGAGCCCUUCUCGUUGAAUGUAAGAAAUGUGGACAGUCCUUUAGUCAUAGCAGGGAACUCACACACCAUCAGCAAAUUAAUACUGGUGAGAAACUUUGUGAGUGUACACAAUGUGGCAGAUCUUUUAUUCAGAGGUCACAACUUAUUCAUCAUCAGAUAAUUCACACUGGUAAGAAACCCUAUGAAUGUAAGGACUGUGGGAAGGCCUUUAUCCAUGGUUCAUGUCUUAUUCGACAUGAGAAAAUUCAUACAAGGGAAAGAAAAUCCUUGGUACUGUAAUUAAUGUAGACAAUUCCAGGUCAUCUCUUAUGGACCAUCAGAGAAUUACUAGAUGAGAACUUUGUGAAUGUAGCAAAUAUAGGAAGGCUUUUUGCUUUAAUUUUUAAUUGCAUCAAAGAAUGCAUUCAGGAGAAAGAC